CUCAGAGCCCUGAGGCCUCUUGCACUGAACGCGCCGAUGUGUCCUCGUUAGGGUGACAGGUGUGUGUAUAGCCCGUUGACUGGACACGCCGGGCUGGGGGUGCGGGCCUCGCGGGACCUCGGAGGCCGCCCUUGGCGCGGGUAGUGGGCCGACCAGGGCAGGCGGGGUCUGUGCUGUUGGCGGAGAGCCGGCGGGAUCGGCGCGACGUGGCCCUGAGCAGGGGUUGCUCAGCGGGAGGCUGAGUGUCCGGGACUUGGGGAGAAGCGUGGGUGCCACCGAGAAUCGCUUUGGGUCGUUAAGUCGUCGGUGUUGCAGCUUCACGUUUUCCUGGGGCGACUCCCAGAGCUAUCUGAAGAUGGUUUUUUUAUUUUGAGAAGUAUGAGAUAUUCUUUCAUUUCUUUUUGUUGUAUUUAGAGAGAGUGCAAGUGGGGGAGGGGCAGAGGGAGGGACAGAAUCCAAAGCAGGCUGCAACCCGGCACCUAGCCAAUACAGCGCUGAAUCUCAGACCCUGGGAUGAUGACCUGAGUCAAAAUCAACUCCGAUGCUCAACCAUCUGAGCCACCCAGGCGCCCAGAGAAGUAUGGGGUAUUUUAAUCACUGUUUUUGUUUUCUGUUUCUUAAUGCUUUAUGUCAAGUUGGGAUAAUGAAUGAGGCCUGUAAAAUGGAUUCCAUUUAGGGAAUGUGUGGAUUUUGAUUCUAAUUGAUGAAAAUUUAAUUUUCAAUAUCUGAGGACAUUUGAGAGGGAUGUUUCUUGUUUCCUAUUGUUAACCUUAAAAACAAAACUGCCAGGGGGCGCCUGGGUGGCUCAGUCGGUGGGCAUGGGACUCUGGAUUUCUCAUCCCUUGAUGGCAGGGUCAUAGGAUUGAACCCCAAGUCGGGCUCCGCGCUGAGUGUGGAGAAUGCUUGGAUUGUCUCUCUCCCUGCGCCCCUCUUCCCUCCCCUGCGCGAGAGCGCUUGCUCGCUCGCUUUUUCUCCCUCUCUUAAGAAAAAAAAAAAAAAAAAAAAAAAAAGAACUGUCUGUUAUUUUAGCAGCAACUGAUGGGGUUAUUGGGGAAUGAAUAAAAGAGAAUUGCAAUCCGGGACAAACAAAGCUUUAGAAAAACUGUAGGGAAGCAUGGGAACCAAGGGGAGGCUUGCUUUUUUAAGGAGAAAAGGGGUAAUUUGGGAAGGUUGAUGUGAACUAAAAGUCCAUUGGAGUAAACAGAGUUUGAAGUGUGGUGGUUUCUCACUGGCUGAACUGUUGUUCUGGGGGCUGAGGAAAAGGUCUCUUCCUCCUGCUGGACUUGUUGAGUAGUAUCCACGUGCAAGGCCAAGUCCCCAAAGGGUCCAGUCCCUCUUCCUGUUGGGCCUGCAAUUGACUGUGUGUUCUAGGGUGUGAAAGUUUUCCCUGCCACAUCUGCCCACUCCAUUUUAGGGAGGUUUCCUAUUACUAGGUUUCACACCAUAAGCAUUAAAAAUCAGUAAGGAAAUUAGAUUUUCAAAUUUAAAUAGCUUCAUUUAUAUCUUUUUAAAAGAUUUAUUUAUUUUGAGAGAUCAUGAGAGGGGAGGGGCAGAGAGAGAGGGAGACAGAGAAUUCCAGGCAGGCUCUGCACUGUCAGCAAAGAGCCCAGUGUGGGGCUCAAACUCAUGAACCAUGAGAUCAUGACCUAAGCCAAAAUCGGGAAUUGGACGCUCAACCCAUUGAGCCCCUCCAGGUGCCCCAAUGUACACGUCAUAAACUUUAACAUGGAAGUGUAAGUUAACAUCUCUUUUUUAUAUUUCCUUUGGAAAAUCUGAUCCUGGUUGGAACUUGGCACUACCUGACUCUAAAUACUCUGCUGCAUAACUUCUCAAAGAUUAUUUACAAGAGAAGACAUUCUUCUGGAUUUCUCGAAACUUUUUUUUAAUAGUUUCUUUUUUUAAUGUUUAUUUAUUUUUGAGAGAGAGCGAGCAAGCAGGGGAGGGACAAAGAGACAGACAGAUAGAGGAUCUGAAGCGAUCUACAUGCUAACCACAGAGAGCUGAAUGCGGGGCUUAAACUCAUGAAACAUGAGAUCAUGACCUGACCCUAAGUCAGAUGCUUAACCAACUGAGCCACCCAGGUGCCCUCUUUCUCAAAAGUUUUAAGUUGAUUUAAUAUUAGUAUUUGAACUCAAAUCAGUUCAGAAAUUGGAAGAUAUAUUUCUGUUAGGCAACAGAACAGUAACCACCCUGGAGGUCCUAUAAAGAAGGGGACCCAGUGCUCCUCCAAGUCUCCAAAUCUCCAUUCCCCUGAGCUCAACUUACUCCACUCAGACCUGCUGGGAAGUGGACUCCAUUAAGGAGCCAGGACUUUACAUCAUUGGUGGUUAAGUGACCUUGACAUUUGGACUCUCCGUUUGGUUUUUCUUUUUCCCUCUAUGCUUACCUACGAGUCCAGUGAUAGAAUUCUGUCUCUGACCCAUCCAGCCUCCAGACCACCUUCUCUGUUAAAUCUUCAGUGUUUAGGUGUGUACAUAAUAUGCACUUGGGAGUCUCCACAUUAGAUGGAGUGAGUUUUCUUGGGUCUAUGUGGGGUACAUAUCCCUAUGAGUAACUGAGCCCAAAAGGUGGGUAUCUUGAGUAAACCAAACUCUGUACACAAUGUCUUCAAGUCUCUGUUUUCCUGGGUCCUUUUUUCAGGAGAAAAUUCAACCCUACAUAAGUACUGUUUAUUAUAAUGGAAACUAUUAUUAAGCCACUUUUCAUUGAGGUUACAAGUUAUUUCACAUAACUGUGAAUUUUGACUUGUGCAUUGGCUUUUUCAUGUGUGAAUCUGCAUGUUAUCAAAACUCUCUGAAGAAAGAGCUCUGAACACAUGGCUACAGAGCAUACACACACAAACCACUGGUAGCGUUUGCUGAAAUGUAGUAGCUGGUCAGGCCUGGGGAUUAUUGAUGCUUUAAUGGCAUGGAGAACAAUGAUGAGUGAUGUCAGCUGACUCAACACAUGACAAAUCACAUUGGUGAUCUGUAAAGACUCAAAAGGAUGACUGAACCUGAUAGGUUGAAGAUAGCAUCUCCUCUCUCACCUGAAUGACCAUUGUCCUGUGACUGAAUGUUAACACUCGACUGCAUAACUGAGACAAAAAUCAGGAUGUCAGAACUUCAAAUGACCCACCACUCCUGUAUUGAAACCUUGAGCCACUCUGCCUCUUCCUGACACCGGGACAUAGCAGCUGUCUCUCAGUCACAUUGAGCUUCCAUCAAGGAAGCUUGCCUUUUCCAUUAGAAGCCCUGUAGAUAUCAAAGAUGCAUAAAACAUUGCAACAUAAGAACUAGGAUAUCCUGGGAAAUCGUUGGGAAUUAUAUAUCAACAGGGCAGAGCCUAGGGAUUUGAUAUUCUCUUAUUGUUUUCCAGAUUGAACGCUGCUCAUGUUCUGUCUGAUAAACACUAAUUAUCUUGCACUGCUGAGUUAAAGGGUAGAAGGAACCACGGGCUCCUGGGUGGCUCAGUUGAUUCUGCAAACAGCUUUGGCUCAGGUCAUGAUCUCACGGUUCAUGGGUUUGAGCCCUACGUCGGGCUCUGUGCCAACAGCUCAGAGCCUGGAGUCUGCUUUCAAUUCUGUGUCUCCCUCUCACUCUGCCCCUUCCCCUCUCACACUCUCUCUAAAUAAAUAAAUAAAACAAUAAUAAUUUUAAAAACGAUAGAAGGAACCAGCAGUAGGAAGCCAACUAUCUCAGACCCAAUAUAAGUUUCUCUAUCUUAUUACUUUAAGAUCAGUGUCUACUUUCUCCUCUCUGCCUCAGAUAUCAUUGUAUUGGGAUAAAUAUAAGCUCUGUCUCAGUAAUUGUAUCAUAAUCCUUCUAUCCAUUUUCCUUUCAAAACAAGUUUCCAUAUUGUCUUUUGUUUGCCUAAAAAUUACACAAACUGGUUUUAAUACUUUUUGCCAGUGAUGAAAACAGCACAGAAGAUAUUUAAUAAAUGCUGAAACCUAGCUAGCUUAUUAGCUGUCACCGGAGGGCUGUUACUGUCACUUUCUAUCCCAGUGCCUAGACCCACUUGCACAUUCACAGUCCUGUUUGGCUUGUCCCACCUUAGAACAUUUGUACUUGUCUGUUCUUCUCUGUAUGGCUCUUCCCCAGAUCUCGUCAUGAAUGCCUGCCACUAUCAUUUCUCUACUUUCUCAGAACCGCAUUCUCUGAACACAUGUUUUUACAACAAAUUUUCUUUUCUAACAACAAAUAUUUUCAGGAUUUAUUCAAGUAGGUCAUAUUUACAACUGUGCCUAGGGGCCCUUGGGUGGCUCAGUUGGUUAAGCAUCCGACUUCAGCUCAGGUCAUGAUCUCACAGUUCACGGGUUCAAGCACUGUGUCUGGCUCUGUGCUGACAGCUCAGAGCCUGGAGCCUGCUUCAGAUUCUGUGUAUGUGUCUCUGCCCCUCUGCUCUCCCUGCCUCUCUCACUCUCUCCCUCUUUCUUUCACAAAUAAAUACACGUUAAAUAAAAAAAGAAGAACUGCCUAAAAUUCAAAAAGGGGAAUCUCUUAUAUCUGUUUUUGGAUUUUUUUCUUAUAGAGAUCUUUGUAAGUUGUUAUUCCUGUAUAAUUUAUCAACAUUCUGGGUCUUGAAUCCAUAUGUCUGUGACCCCACUGCCCCUGCCAUUCUGCAGAAUGGAUGUCGUAUUAGCAGGCAUGAAAACUACAGUAAUCUUAUUGUCCAUUUCCAUCAGAGCUCUUGGGUGACCAGAUGCAUUGUCAAUGAGCAGUGAUAUUUUGAAAAGGAUUUUUUUUCUGAGCAGUAGGUCUCAACAGUGGGGUUAAAUACUCAGCAAACCACGUUGUAAAGAGAUGCGCUAUCAUCCAGCCUUUGUUGUCUGUUGAUGGAGCUCAGCCAGGGUCGAUUUAGUAUAAUUCUUAAGAGCCCCAGGAUUUUCAGGAUGGUACAUGGGUGUUGGCUUCAACUUAGUCACCAGCCGCAUUAGCUCCUAACGAGAGUCAGUCUGUACUUCGCAGCUUUGAAGCCAGCCGCUGACUUCUCUCUGGCUAUGAAAGUCCUGGAUGGCAUCUUCCAACAGAAGGCUUCCAGUAGAUUUUCCAACUUAAAAGCUGUUGGUCGGUGCAGCCACCAGCAUGAAUUGUCUCAGCCAGAUCCUCUGGAUAACUGGCUGCAGCUUCUGUAUCAACACUCGCUGCCUCACCUUGCAGUUUUAUGUUAUGGAGACGACUUCUUUUCCUUACUCCCACCAACCAUCCUCUGCUCGCAUCAGAUGUUUUUCUGAAGUUUCUUCACCUCCCUCAUCCUUCAGAGUAUUAAUUGAAGAGAGUCAGGGCCUUGCUCUGGAUGAGGCUUUGGCUUCAGGGAAUGGUGACCUUCUAUACAGACCACACAAACCUCCAUAUCUACAAUAGGUCUGUUUCAGUUCACUUUCUUUUUUUUAAUGUGUAUUUAUUUUUGAGAUAGAGACAGAGCACGAGCAGAGGAGGGGCAGAGAGAGAGAGACACACACACAAAAUCCUAAGCAGGUUCCAGACUCUGAGCCGUCAGCACAGAUCCUGACACGGGGCCGGAUCCCAUGAACCGUGAGAUCGUGACCUGAGCCGAAGUCGGACGCUUAACCGACUGAGCCACCCAGGCUCCCCUCACUUCACAUUCUUAUCACCCAUGUGUUCACUGGAGUUGCACUUUUAAUUUCCUUCAAGGACUCUUCCUUUUCAUUCACAGCUUGGCUGACUUUUUGGCACAAGACACCUAGCUUUCAGCCUGUCUCUGCUUUCAGCGUGCCUUUCUCACGAAGCUCAUUCAUUUCUAGCUCUUGAUUUAACGUGACAGACCUUGAACACUUAGGAGGCCGGUGUAGGGCUGUCUCAUGGAAAAGAGGCCCCAGGAGAGGAGGAGGGGGACAGCUGGUAGGUGGAGCAGUCAGAAUACACACAACACUUACUGAUUAAGGUAGCCCACACCUAUGGGCACAGCUCGUGGCACCCCAAAACAAUUGCAAUAGUAACAUCAAAGAUCACUGAGCACAGACCACAGUAACAAAUAUGAUAAUGAAAAUGUUUUAAAUAUUGUGAGAAUUCCCAAACUGUGACACAGAGAUAAUGUGAGCAAUUGCCCUUGGAAAAAUGGCACCGAGCAACAUGGCGUUGCCACACACCUUUGUGAAAAGCAGUAUCUGUAAAGCACAAUACAACAAAGUGUGCCUGCCUGUAGUUAAGACCUGGAGGAGAAGAGGUUCUCUAUUCUUCUGGGCCCAGGCCACCACCUUCAGCAGCCCCCUCCUCUUCAUCUCCAGGCAAGCAAAUGAAAUCCUAGAGCAGACCCUUCCUCUUCUCCAAGUCAGAUUUAGUUGACAUGCUACCGACUGCCAUGCUCUACACGCACAAAAUAUGAUAGGUUCCAUAAAUAAAUUAUACCUUCAAUGUUCAUUUUCCCAUACAUAGGAUGUGUUUCAACUAUUUUUGAAUAAUACGAAAAAGUAUAUACGUCUUAGGAUCUGUCUUCAUAUAUAAAAGAAUAAAUUACUUGUGAAGGAAAAUCAGGCAAUGUAUUUUCAUUUCAGGCACUGGCAUUUGGUUCCCAAAAGAACAGUUUGUCCUUUUUUUCUUCUUAAUGUGUUUGUAUCAAAUAUAAAAGUGAACCUAUAGUAACUCUCAAAAGGGAGCAUAAUUUUUACAGCGGGAAUUUAAGGUAAUCAGGUUCUCGUUUCCCUGGUUCUCGGACACGUUCCUGUCUUGCCAGCCUCGUCACACUGCACCAUCCUUGAGGCAAUGAGGGCUUCUGCUCAUCAGAAAGGAGUGUCUGCGGUAGGAGACUGUGGACCAGGCUUGUGCCACACAGAGAGUGGAGCUCUAUUAGAGAGUAAAAAGGAUACGUGGUCAGAUCCUGCGUUGUUUAAAGGCUCAUUUAGAAGAGAUCAUUUAAAGAAAUUUUUAAAAAACAAGAAAACUUUGUGUACAGAAUCUCAAAGGAUAUAUCUUUUAGGAAAACUUGUAGUAGAAAAUACAGAUGUUUUAGUCAGUUUCCUAAAAACUUAUUUGAGCAAAGCCUUAGGACUCCCCAUGGAGGUAGGCAGGAGCACUAUUAGAGACUUUCCCCCCUCCCCUGGUAACAGAACUCGUGUAAAAUUGCUGAGAGAAGCCAAACCAUUUGUGUCCCAGGGGCUGAGAGCAAACUACAGUCAGGUGAGUUGGGUGGACUGGACGGGGAGGCAGGCUAGUGGAUUUCUGAAGAUGAUGGCAGGUCUAAAGGUCCUACUUGUAAGGCCAGUGAGAAAGCAGGGAAGAAGUUAAAGCUGGAGAGUGUUAGGAAUGAAAUCUGUGCUUGUAAGUGAUAUUAGCCCCACCCAGCAGCCUCUGGAGAGGGGAGUGGUUGCUGGAGGUUGAGCUCUAGAAACACUCUUGAACACUGGAGACCAACCUGCAGGCUGGUGAGAGCUUCCAUCUGCUGGAGGGUAAUCCUGCCCACCUCCAUGGGGACUGAUGGAUCCUGCCCUGGGGACCCUUCUGGACCUCACCCGUGUACCUCUUCAUCUGACUGUUCAUCCUUGUAGUAAACCAGUAAAACUGAGUAAAGUGUUUUCCUAAAUUCUAGGAGUCAUUCUAGAAAAUUGCCAAGCCUAAUUUGAGGGAUUGUGGGAACCCUUGAAUCCACAAUGCUCUCGGCAGAAAAUGUGGGCGGUCUGGGCACUACAUUUAUGGUUGGCAUCUGAAGUAGAGGAAGUCUCAUGGGGCUAAGACUUUGAACUUGUGGGAUCUGAUGCUGACCCCAGGAAGAUGGUAUCCAGAAUGAACUGAAUCCUUGGACACCCAGGCAAUGUCAGAGAAUUAGUUGCUGGUGUGAAGAAAACUAUACGAAUUUUUAGAUUUUGAGAAAUCUAUGACUGUUGUCUGUUACAGGGUGUUGGUCAGUAAGUGGGUGGAAGAAAUGGACGUAUAAGGAAGGUAAGAAGGCAGAACUAACAAAAUAUGCUUUUUUUUGUCUCAGAUGUUAUUGAGCACGAGCCAUGUAACCAGGCAUUGGGAUAGGUCAUGCGUAUGCAGUUAGAAUAAAACAGCUUUUUUUAUUUUUGGGGGGUGGAUGCAUGCAGAAAGGAUUACAUGGGGAUUGAAGUGGGCACUAAAAGGAAUGGAAUUAGGGGCUGAUAGACUUCAAGUGGUGUCAGAGGAUUGUAGGUUCCCAGGUGUGAGGAGAACCUGGGCAUGGGGAAUGAUUCUGUGGACAAGCUGGAAUGAGAGAGGCUGUGAUUGCUGGAGGGAUCUCAGAUUCUUCAUCUGACAGGGGGAAUUCCUGCUUUUCCUGCAUGCGGUUUGCACUCUCUGUGAGUGGAAAUCCGGAGGAAGAGACGUGGUGGCCGAACCCUUGAUGAUGCACCUGCAGAAAAACGGGAUUAACAUACAGAGGAUUGAUGCAGUGAUCAUUGUUAAGAAUGGAGAGCUCACUGCAGGAGAGAUCACUGUGGGGCCAUCCUUCGGACGAGCCAUCUCAGGAGCCCCUAACCGGACCGCAGGACCUGUCUGCCCUGAUACCUUAUAAAGAACAAGAAUCUGUGACCUACAAAGAUGUAGCUGUAGACUUCACCCAGGAAGAGUGGGCCCUGAUGGACACAUCCCAGAGAACGCUGUACAGAGAUGUGACGCUGGAAAACAUUAGUCAUCUGGUCUCUGUGGGUGAGUCUGUCACCAUCUAUUCAUUCAUUCAUCCAUCCUUCCAUACAUCCAUCCAUCUUUUUGUUUAUUAACCUUGUAUCCAGGAGAGCUUCCACAUAUUCUAAUACAGCUGUCUGCCCUAACUCAUAUCUUUUGUAGCAUUUCUGAAUACUAGAUGGAAUUUGUAACUUUCUCUACUUUCAUCCUGUGUGUUACAUGAUAAUUUGAAUACAGUCUUCUUGGCCACAAGUGUGUAUCUACUGCACUUUCUCCAAGACCCAGAACAAUGCUGGGAAUACAAUGAAUAUUUUUUGAAUGAAUAAAUAAAUAUCCUGAGUAUUUUCUGUCCUGGGCAGUAUGAUGAAGCGUGAGCACAGUAGAAAAUAUAACAUCUUGUAUCACUUUCCACAUAAAACUCCACAGAAUAUUCUGGUGGAGCUUAUGUGUAUUGUAUUCCUUUGAAAAUAGUGUUAAUCCCCUUGUGAGAACAUUUAAUUUCUUCUGGAUGCAAACACUAAGCCUUCUGCUCUCUCUCAGCUUGGGCAGGCGCAUCAGCAAUCAGAGAUCUUACUGUCCUUGGGUGCAGUGUCAGGCUGAGAACAUUUAUCAAUGUUUUUAGUGUUCAAGG